rnacentral:rRNA from 1 species
ACGGCGAGUGAAGCGGCAAAAGCUCAAAUUUGAAAUCUGGCAGUUUCACUGCCCGAGUUGUAAUUUGAAGAACGGUCUUUGUACAGCGCCUUUGUCUAUGUUCCUUGGAACAGGACGUCACAGAGGGUGAGAAUCCCGUGAGAUGGGGGUUGCUGUGCUUGUAGGGCCAGUUCGACGAGUCGAGUUGUUUGGGAAUGCAGCUCUAAGUGGGUGGUAAAUUCCAUCUAAAGCUAAAUAUUGGCGAGAGACCGAUAGCGAACAAGUACAGUGAUGGAAAGAUGAAAAGAACUUUGAAAAGAGAGUGAAAAAGUACGUGAAAUUGUUGAAAGGGAAGGGCAUUUGAUCAGACUUGGUGGGGGAGUACUGGCAGUCACUUGUUGGGUGCUUACUGCUCCUCUGCUGGGCCAGCAUCGAUUCGUGUGGCAGGAUAACCGGCUGGGAACGUGGCUGCUUGCAGUGUUAUAGCCCAGCCUUCUGCUGCCUACAUGGAUCGAGGACUGCGUCUU